CUCUUUGGAAAGGAAAAGCAAAUAUUGGGUGGCUCUAACUGAGGUCAUAGUUUCUCCAUGUCUAGACACCGCUAGUAACCGGUGCCUGCUGUACCUUCUGUGCUUCCCAUGGAUUUAUAAAUGUAUGAGUUGCUUUGUAUUUGGUUGCAUAAAAUGCACCGUGCUUCCAGACAGGUUUCAAAAUCGUAUUUUAGAUCUUUUGGGUACGUCUCUGCUCAAGCUAUUUUUUCUUGUUCCUAAAGCAAACGACUCUCUCUAUAAUGAAUCAGUGGACAAUGUGAUGGCCAUUUUCCUUAUUUUCAAACGCACCAAACAAAUCAUUUUUUACUUUUUGUAAACUAGUUAUAUUUUUAUUCCAGUGGUGCUAUAUCUUUUCUCAACUACUCUGAAUUUAAAUGAAAAAGAGAGAGUAGAAAAGGAAAUAUCUACUAAAAAUAGCAUGGAAAAAUAAUUGCUUGUUGUAGAAGAAAAUGAAUGGAAAUUAUUUUUUCAUUCUAUACUUUUUCUUCUCCUGUAGAUGGACCAUUUUGCUUUGGUUCUUUUAUUGCCUUACUAUGUCACAAUAUAUAAGAAAAGUGAAGUAUGAGAAAAGACACAGUCAUACACAUAUGUUUUUAAAGAUAGUCCAGGGAAAUAAGUCUUUAUGAAUAGGCCUGAACAAUUUUACAAACGGUAUAACUUUCGAAUUCUACAUAGUUAUUUUCUUAAACUCACCAAAUAAUCACAAAUGCAGAUCUAUAUAUAUACUUCUGCAAGCAAAAAAAGUAAUUUAUUACUUGUUAUGCCAAUGUCCAAAUAAAAUCUAGGCUCUGUGUGUGUGGCUGCUAGAAGAAACUAUGUGUUCUAAACCAUACAUGUGAGCCUCUGCGAAUAGUUCAAGACACAAAGUAUUGUUUUCAGCUUCUUUCUAUUCUGAGCAUAGAAUGUUCUGUAAUAUUUGUGGCUCCAAUUGAUUCACAUUAUGUUAUUUAGAGAAACUCAUUGUAAUAUAUUCUUUGGCAUUUGAUUCCUAGUGAUGUUUCAGGGUGGUUUUUUUGUUUUGUUUUGUUUUGUUUUUAAAUUGAAAAUAAGAUACUAGGAGCCAACAAAACCGUUUUAAAAAUCUACUCCUCAUACUUGUUAUCAAAAAAUGUUUUAAUUAUAUCAAUUUGUCUAAAGCUAAUUGUUCUCUGUGAAAAAUCUCUCACCUACGAUUAUGCUUUGUUGGUUUUGCUUUGGAAGAAGAGCAAAACUACCUUCAUGCCACCACCACCACCAUCAUAAUAGUAGUGUCAAAUUUUAGAAUUGUUUUACUGUCCAAGCAUUAAUACAGAAGGGCAUUACCCUUGCUUAUAUUUCAGAAGAGCCAAGCCCUAGUAGUUGGCUUUCUUCUUGAUGUGUGCAGAGAUUUUUGCUUUCUCGAAGAAACAAGGGGGUAUAUUGAGAAUCCAGGCAUUGUUUCAUUCACUCUUUUCACGUGCUUUUCUCUCUUGCUUGAAGCCUACCCCCUCUUGCCCCACUUACACUUGCCCUUCAGUUUGUCAUCUUAAAGCUGUACCAAAUGCUCCAAUUUCUAUUAAAUAACUUCAGUGUUUCCUAUAACAUUUUGUAUGAUUAGAGUACUGGUUAUAUUUUAUUAUAUCAAGUUAUUUCUAUGUCUCUUUCCUUCUCUGUGAAUUUUCUAAAAGCAGAGACCUCCAGGGCCUUGCCCAGCUAGUCAAUAACUGUGAAUUAAUUAACCAAUUAAUAUGUAUUAAAUGAAUGUUUUUAAACUAGUUAGCAUUUUGAAAGGCAAUUAAUUUCACUCCAUAAGUUAUACAAAAUAAAUUAUGGUUGGAACAAAAGAUUGAAUCUUAAUGAUCAUACUAUAAGGAAAUAUCACUGUAAGAGUCAGGAAAAAAUGUGUUUUUCUUAGCCGUUGACCUUGCUCCUAAGAAAUGACCAUUUAUUGUUGAUAGCUGCAUGGCGGAAGAGGUAAGACCCUAAGAGCAAGAUUGAGCGGUAAUAGCCACUUACUGAGUUUUAAGGAAUUGAGUGGAGUUAAUUGUAGAGCUUUUAUUGUCCUAACUCAGAGUAGGUAUGCAGAAUUGAAGUAAGCACUGAAUUGUUUCAGAAAAUAGAAAGGACUUCAGACACUGUGCAAAAAAUAAAUAAAUGAAAUGAGAGAAGAAAGACGAGGUUUUUGACUUAUACCAAGGGAAUUGGAAGAAAAACCAGAAUACCUAGUAGAAAAACUAAGUUUUGCCAUGUGAAAACUUAUGUGUACUAUAAUAGCUCUUCUUUUUCUCCCUCUAAAUCAUCGGCAAAAUCUGUGUUACUCUUGAGCAUAUUGUGAACUUGAAUCCAUAUUUUGAGAGAUGAAAGGGAAUCAUGAAUCCAGUUUCAAGACUGUUAUAGGACAAGACCCCACCAUAUCAGUGUUUAUAGUGAUCAAUCUAAGAAACAUGUUUAAUAGUUAUCUGGAAGCAUAGAAAUGUUUUAGAGUCUAAAAGAAUAGGAAAAAUAAAGAAUAAUGUUAUCAUAAUCAAUUGUAAGAAGUUAAAAUCCUAUGUAGUAGAAAUGUAUAUAGAUACCUACACACAUAAAAUCAAAAUUCACCAAGGAAAUAUUUGUAAGACAGGGUUACUUCAUCUGAGAGAGCUCAUAAAAAUUCAUAAGAAUACAUCAAGGCACUAAUACAGUAAAAAAAAAAAAAAAAAAAAAAAAACGAAGAGACAGUUGAUAAUUAGUAAAAAAACAUAUGGGAAAAUGCUCAGACUCACUGGUUAUUAAAAGACUGUAAAUUGAAAAAAAUAACAAGCUACCCUUUUAUAUUAUUAAAUAAGUAAAAUUUUUAAGUAAUAUUAUAACCUUUUGUGGAUGUAGGUGUUUGAAAAGUAGUAUUUACUCUUUGCUAUCAGCAGUUUAAAUUAAACACCCUUUUCAGGGAAAAAAAAAUGUUACUUUAUGUUUCAAAAACCAUAAGUAUGUUCAUAUUCUUUAACCUAGGAUUUCUGGAAUUUAUCCCAAAAAAACAAUCAAAAGGCAGAAAAUGUCAUAUGGCUAAAGUUGUUCAUGACAGAACAGAUUAAAACUGUUGAUUUUAAAAGUAAUGAUAUUUCAAAUGCUUUCAAAAUUUUUUCUUUAUGUUAUUCUCAUGUUAUGUUUGAUUUUUAAACAAAAAACCUUAAAGCCUACAUUUUUAAAACAAGAUUCUUUAUUUUCCUUUUAUCAAAAAAUAAUCAAGAUAUAAUUGUAAAUUUUGCUCAAAAGUAGAGCGAACAAAUACUAUACCAGACAGAAUGUAGCUCAUAAAAUGGUACUUUGGUUUCAGAAUUGUAAAAUCCUAAUUGUACAUUGAAAAGUCCACUAAUGGCUAUUUCUUCCAUUUAAUUCAUAUAUGGUAUUUUUCUGCUUUUAAACAAAAUAAGAUUGGUUUUACAGUGCAGUGCUGAGACAUUAUUACAGACUUCUAAUAAUAUUAAAAAUAGGCAAGCCUUAUUUUUUAAUAGUCUCAUUUUUUUUUUUUUAGCGCCAAAGAAUAACACACAUUCACUGAAGUAAAUUUGGAAAAAGGAGAAAUGAAUAAAAAAAUUCUUCCGCCUCUCAUCACCCCAAGAUAACCAUUAUUAAUAUUUUGACCUCUAUUCACUAUAUCUGUGAACAAAAAUGGCAUCAUAAUAGGCAAAAAUGUUUUGAAAUCUUUCUUUGACUUGAUGUAGCAUGAUGUACUUGUGCAUUUUUAUUAAAUAUUCUCCUGCAUCAUAAUUUUAAACCCCUGUGUUGUAUUGAAACCUGCCUUAUUUAAUUCAAUAUCAAGUGGUGAAUUAGAUCUGUUCUUCUAGAAGCAAUACCAAAAAAGGAAGUCAUGCAAACGCCUCUAAAGAAGGAGAACACAAUAAUACUGAAGGUUUUGUAACGAACACUUUUGUUCACUCCAUUCCCUCUAAGUCUGCUUUAUGGAGCAGAUGUCAAAUGUUUUUGUUUUAUUGUGAUUUUUGCCAUAGCUCAAAAGUCAAUAUUCUGCUGUCAGAUGUGGGCUUACAUGUGAAAAAUAGGGAAGCAAGUUAACUCGGAAGCACGGAGCUCAGGGAAUUGAAUUUGCAUCUAAUUCACUAAGCAUACAUGUUUACAUGACCUUUAGAAAAAGGAAUUAAACCAGUUUUGCACUAGCUGUAGGCAAUCUAAGUUAAAGAGGCAAUGGAAUCAGGAAUCUAAAAUACUCCUUACAAGAUAACCAGGCUAACAGAAAAUUACUUUAAUUCAAAUAUAUUUUACUAUUAAAUUCAUAGUCUCACUAAUAUGGCAUGUUGAGCCUAGUACAAACAAGGUGUAACUUUUAGUUCUAGCCGAGUUGUCCCAUGAACCAUAGAUUAUUUUGCUAAGCACCAAAAUGAUCCUACGUCUCCCCUAAAAUUCAAAAGGAAUAUUUUUGUUGUUGUUUUAUUUUUUUAUUUUUAUUUUUUUCAAAAGGAAUAUUUUGAAGUCUCAUUUCAAAGCAUCCAGAUUUUCUUCUGGCACUAUUGUAAAUCAGGUCCAGAACUGCAAUUAAGUAUGAUAUCUGAUAUAAAAUUGAUAUCAAAUCAGAAAGUAUAGGUUAGGGGCCAGCUUCAUCAUUAAAUGUCUAUAUGAGCCUAAGGAACUAACUUAAUUUUUGUAGAACUUACUUUUAUCACCUGUAAAUAAAAUGUCGGGUUAUAUAAUCUUCAAGAUGCUAUUUAGCUCUAGUACUUUGGUGUUUUAGUCUGCAUUCCCCAACCUUUUUGCAAAGGUCUCAAAGUGGUAUCGGUGUCGAGCUAUGGACCUGCUGCACUUUGCAGUCUCAAGGAGGGAAUAAACUAGCUAAACUCACUCUGUUCUCCAACUUCCUCACUCACUCUGAAAAACAUAAGAUUAAAUAUUUACUGAACAAAAUGAAUAUAUGAAUAAACUGCUAUAAAUAUAUAUGUAGGGCAAAGAGAAGCUUGGACUAGUAUGUCAAUACAAUAUUAUCCCUUGCCAGGACUGGGUAAAGCACAGUUAUAUUGAGUAAGCAUACAAUUCUCUUGUCUUUACUAUUUAUCAGCUCCUAUAUACAAAGGAUUCUAACAUUAAAGGAAAGGCCACAAGAAGAGGAAGGAUUAGAGUCCACACAGAUGAUACGGGAAUAAUAAAUAUUCAAGAUGUCCUUUUAAAAAAAUUCUAUCUUAGAGUUCCCAUCAUGGGGCAGUAGGUAACGAGCCCCACUAGUAUCCAUGAGGACGCAAGUUCAAUCCCUAGCCUUGCUCAGUGGGUUAAGGAUCUUGUGUAGGUCACAGACGUAGCUCAGGUCUGGCAUUGCUGUGGCUGUGGUGUAAGCUGGCAGCUACAGCUCUGAUUGGACCCCUUACCUGAGAACUUGCAUAUGCUGCAGGUGUGGCCCU
rnacentral:lncRNA from 1 species